rnacentral:rRNA from 1 species
GAUGAACGCUGGCGGCGUGCCUAAUACAUGCAAGUCGAGCGAACGGACGAGAAGCUUGCUUUUCUGAUGUUAGCGGCGGACGGGUGAGUAACACGUGGAUAACCUACCUAUAAGACUGGGAUAACUUCGGGAAACCGGAGCUAAUACCGGAUAAUAUUUUGAACCGCAUGGUUCAAAAGUGAAAGACGGUCUUGCUGUCACUUAUAGAUGGAUCCGCGCUGCAUUAGCUAGUUGGUAAGGUAACGGCUUACCAAGGCAACGAUGCAUAGCCGACCUGAGAGGGUGAACGGCCACAAUGGAACUGAGAAACGGUCCAGACUCCUACGGGAGGCAGCAGUAGGGAAUCUACCGCAAUGGGCGAAAGCCUGACGGAGCAACGCCGCGUGAGUGAUGAAGGUCUUCGGAUCGUAAAACUCUGCUAUUAGGGAAGAACAUAUGUGUAAGUAACUGUGCACAUCUUGACGGUACCUAAUCAGAAAGCCACGGCUAACUACGUG